rnacentral:rRNA from 1 species
UACGGGGGGGGCAAGCGUUGUUCGGAAUUACUGGGCGUAAAGGGCUCGUAGGCGGCCAACUAAGUCGGACGUGAAAUCCCCAGGCUCAACCUGGGAACUGCAUCCGAUACUGGAUGGCUUGAAUUCGGGAGAGGGAUGCAGAAUUCCAGGUGUAGCGGUGAAAUGCGUAGAUAUCGUGAGGAAUACCAGAGGCGAAGGCGGCUCCCUGGACAAUUGCUGACACUCAGGCACGAAAGCGUGGGGAGCAAAAGGG